rnacentral:rRNA from 1 species
AUCUAUGGCCAUGCCACCCUGAACAUGCUCAAUCUUGUCUGAUCUCUGAAGCUAAGCGAGGUCGGGCCUGGUUAGUACCUGGAUGGGAGACCACCUAGGAAUACCUGGUGCUGUAGGUG